rnacentral:rRNA from 1 species
GACGAACGCUGGCGGCGUGCUUAACACAUGCAAGUCGAACGAAGAGCGAUGGAAGCUUGCUUCUAUCAAUCUUAGUGGCGAACGGGUGAGUAACGCGUAAUCAACCUGCCCUUCAGAGGGGGAUAACAGUUGGAAACGACUGCUAAUACCGCAUACGAUCUAAUCUCGGCAUCGAGGAUAGAUGAAAGGUGGCCUCUACAUGUAAGCUAUCACUGAAGGAGGGGAUUGCGUCUGAUUAGCUAGUUGGAGGGGUAACGGCCCACCAAGGCGAUGAUCAGUAGCCGGUCUGAGAGGAUGAACGGCCACAUUGGGACUGAGACACGGCCCAGACUCCUACGGGAGGCAGCAGUGGGGAAUCUUCCGCAAUGGACGAAAGUCUGACGGAGCAACGCCGCGUGAGUGAUGACGGCCUUCGGGUUGUAAAGCUCUGUUAAUCGGGACGAAAGGCCUUCUUGCGAAUAGUGAGAAAGGA